GGGGGCGCACUGGAUUCGACGGGAGUAAUUGAGGCAGUAGAUGCAUGUCGAGGCGCUGAACCUCGUAAAAAUCGGCAACACUGAUAAGUGCCAACGAUGAGUUAGCCUUAGCUGCGUAAAAGCUCGCAGCCGGCUUGCCCACCCGGUCCGUGGGGUGGAGCGAGGCGUCACUUUAGCGGACUUUUCGAUUGACGGUUUUUCUCGUGGACGGUUGGUCGAGAACACAAUCGCGAGGCGUUGGAUGGGCGGUUUGCCGGUUUCAUUUUGCCUGUCUGAUGUACUUUUGAAACACGGAUAAGCAUGUAGAUUCUGCUGGUGAAGACUUUCGGACGCGGGUUCGAUUCCCGCCGCCUCCACCA
rnacentral:tmRNA from 1 species